rnacentral:lncRNA from 1 species
GGGGUUCAGUCUGCCGCUGCAAAUACCAAAAGCUGUCCUCAUUGAGUCAUCCCUCCCAGAGCAGGAAGAGCAGAGGUUCUGGGAAACAACCCCAAGGAGAGAGACAGGGCAUUUAUAAAACAGCAUGUAAGCAUCUCUGCAGUUGCUGUCCCCAGAGCCCACUUCCUGGAUAUUGCCAGCUGCCUGGACCAACCUUUCCGAAAGAUCAGCCAGGUCACAGUGAGGGUCAAAGCAGGAGGCCACUGGAGGCUCCAAGGGCUCUGAAAUGUUGAGAACUUCCCUGCAGGUACCAGCGAAGAGGGCAAGAACACAGCACUACUUCCUUGGAUACUGUUUCCCUCCUCAGAGGGGUUUUCUGAGCUGCCCUGGGUCCUGUGAGGAAGAUCUCCCCUUCCUGUAAAGACACCAGUCCUACUGGAUCAGGGCCCACCCGUGUGACUUCACUUUUACUUGAGUACCUCUCACAGACCCUAACUCCAAAUCAGGUCACUUGCUGAGGUACUGCAUGUGAAGACUUUGACAUUUGAAUUUUGAGGGGGCCACCGUUUAACCUGAACCACCAAGGACAGAGCCAAAGACCCUGGGUGACAGGCCCAGAACAGGACCUGGUGGAGGCUCUUCUUUAGGGGAGAGAGGGAAAUGGGAGCCACCACUGGCAGAGCCUGAAGGCAGGGCAGCCAGAAAGAAGCUGUGGGAGUCCCCACCAUGGAAGACCCUGCCGAGCAUCCUGUGUCUCCUGAAGCAGACCCUGACAUGAGGACUGGGGGCACGUGUUUAUUAAGGGCGAUCCCCGGAAGGAGGAGAUAACCAGGCAGAAGUCCUAGCAGAGUAUGCCCACGCUGGUUAGUGCUGCUGCAAAGAUGAGCCGAAGACCAUGAGAGACCUCCAGGUGGUCCUUCUGGGGAGAAGAAAUGGGUUUUGGCCCCAAAUCCUUCUGCUGCAUUUUUCCCCUAUCCCUGGGAAGCCAUGAGACCUCAAACCUGUGUUCCCAAGGAGGCGAGCUGCUGUUCCCAGGUGAUGAUAUGAUGUGCUUGGGGAAAGUAAGUGGCUGCCAGACAUGGCUGAGAGCUGUUGUCACUGCCGUCAAGUGCAUGUCUCCAAGCCAUAUCACACGGCGUCCCUCGAUGUGAGGCCACAUGGCAAGUGGGCCGUGGAUCUCCCUCUGCCCUUUGCAAGCACGUAAGACAGCAGAUUUUGCAGAUACCUUGUGGCGCAGGGGAAUUUCCUUUGGCCAGGUCUGAAGAAAUAAAGCAGCAGGCACCGAGAACAAAGCCAAGGCUUUCAAAAGACAAGGAGCCAAAAAACUUACUCAAAAUAAAAGUAGUUUUAAAAUGUC